rnacentral:tRNA from 1 species
AGGGGUUUAGUAUAACGGCAGUACCGCAGUCUCCAAAACUGCUUGUAAGGGUUCGAUUCCUUUAACCCCUGCCA